rnacentral:rRNA from 1 species
UACGAAGGGGGCAAGCGUUGUUCGGAAUUAUUGGGCGUAAAGGGAGCGUAGGCGGUUCGGCAAGUCUUUAGUGAAAUCUCUGGGCUCAACUCAGAGUCUGCUGGAGAAACUGCCGGGCUGGAGUAUGGGAGAGGUGAGUGGAAUUCCCAGUGUAGCGGUGAAAUGCGUAGAUAUCGGGAGGAACACCUGUGGCGAAAGCGGCUCACUGGACCAUUACUGACGCUGAUGCUCGAAAGCUAGGGGAGCAAACAGG